rnacentral:rRNA from 1 species
CCUACGGGAGGCAGCAGUGGGGAAUCUCGCGCAAUGGGCGGAAGCCUGACGCAGCAACGCCGCGUGCGGGAAGAAGGCCUUAGGGUCGUAAACCGCUUUCAGGGGGGACGAAGCUUCCGGGGUUAAUAGCCUACGGGGUGACGGUACUCCCAAAAGAAGGUCCGGCUAACUACGUGCCAGCAGCCGCGGUAAUACGUAGGGACCGAGCGUUGUCCGGAAUCAUUGGGCGUAAAGAGCGUGUAGGCGGCUUGGUAGGUCUCGUGUGAAAUCCCGCGGCUCAACCGCGGAUCCGCACGGGAAACCCCUAAGCUCGAGUCCGGAAGAGGAGAGUGGAAUUCCUGGUGUAGCGGUGAAAUGCGCAGAUAUCAGGAAGAACACCCGUAGCGAAGGCGGCUCUCUGGGACGGUACUGACGCUGAGACGCGAAAGCGUGGGGAGCAAACAGGAUUAGAUACCCUGGUAGUCCACGCCGUAAACGAUGGGCGCUAGGUGUGGGAGGUGUCGACUCCUCCCGUGCCGAAGCUAACGCAUUAAGCGCCCCGCCUGGGGAGUACGGCCGCAAGGCUAAAACUCAAAGAUAGUACGGCGUGAGAGNGCGACGACGACGACGACGGAGGAG